AUUGAACGCUGGCGGCAGGCCUAACACAUGCAAGUCGAGCGGAUGACGGGAGCUUGCUCCUUGAUUCAGCGGCGGACGGGUGAGUAAUGCCUAGGAAUCUGCCUGGUAGUGGGGGACAACGUUUCGAAAGGAACGCUAAUACCGCAUACGUCCUACGGGAGAAAGCAGGGGACCUUCGGGCCUUGCGCUAUCAGAUGAGCCUAGGUCGGAUUAGCUAGUUGGUGGGGUAAUGGCUCACCAAGGCGACGAUCCGUAACUGGUCUGAGAGGAUGGUCAGUCACACUGAAACUGAGACACGGUCCAGACGCCUACGGGAGGCAGCAGUGGGGAAUAUUGGACAAUAGGCGGAAGCCUGAUCCAGCCAUGCCGCGUGUGUGAAGAAGGUCUUCAGAUUGUAAAGCACUUUGAGUUGGGAGGAAGGGCAGUAAGCUAAUACCUUGCUGUUUUGACGUUACCGACAGAAUAAGCACCGGCUAACUCUGUGCCAGCCGCCGCAGUAACAC
rnacentral:rRNA from 1 species